AGCCCUGGGCAGGGGCAGCGGGGGUGGGGGUGGGGCAGGGAGAGGCAGGGACCCCUGCUGGGGAGGGGAAGCCUGCAGCCUGGGGCAGGGCCGCAGCCCCCAGGCCAGCCAGCUGCGAUGGCCCAGCCCGGUCCACCUGGGCUGCCCCCCUCCCAGGGCUGCCCUCAUCUCAGAGCCCCACCCCCUGCCUUGUGGGCUCUUCUAUUUUCAGGGCAAGAGACUGGGAAAGUCAUGGCCAGUCCUUCUUAAGGCAGCGGACAGGUGUCCAGGCUGUCCACUGUCCUAUGGGAUUGCCUCAUGGAGAAGGAACAGACACAGCCUCUGGGUCCACAUGACAGCAGUGGGCCUGGGUGUGGCCAGAUCUUCCCAGCGUGACCGUGGAGACGAGCCUCCAGAAACGCCCACCGCACCCCUGGCUACCGGGGGCGACCACGGCCUUUCCGGGCUUCUGGGGGAAACCAAGUCACCAGCUUUUUACUGACCGGCCCCUUCCUUUGGCUGCCCCGUGCCAAAGACAGCGGCCUCCUCGCUGUGUCCGCUCAGGCCCCACGUGUCCGGAACAGCCUGUCUCUGCAGCUGGACGUGGGAUUUAAGAUGGGGCUGCUACCUGGGGGUGGGGCCUCAUACGAGCAUUUUAUGUUUGGACUCAACACGUGAUUAAACCUGGAGGUUUUCAGGA